rnacentral:rRNA from 1 species
GACGAACGCUGGCGGCGCGCCUAACACAUGCAAGUCGAACGGAGCUGAGAGGAGCUUGCUUUUCUCAGCUUAGUGGCGAACGGGUGAGUAACGCGUGAGUAACCUGCCCUGGAGUGGGGGACAACAGUUGGAAACGACUGCUAAUACCGCAUAAGCCCACGAUCCGGCAUCGGAUUGAGGGAAAAGGAUUUAUUCGCUUCAGGAUGGACUCGCGUCCAAUUAGCUAGUUGGUGAGGUAACGGCCCACCAAGGCGACGAUUGGUAGCCGGACUGAGAGGUUGAACGGCCACAUUGGGACUGAGACACGGCCCAGACUCCUACGGGAGGCAGCAGUGGGGGAUAUUGCACAAUGGGGGAAACCCUGAUGCAGCGACGCCGCGUGGAGGAAGAAAGUUUUCGGAUUGUAAACUCCUGUCGUUAGGGACGAUAAUGACGGUACCUAACAAGAAAGCAC